UGGAAGGAACCGAAGGGGAAUUUCAAGACGAAGCUCGAAAAUUACAGAUUGCCAUUCGAUGUGCCAAAGCUGCAUUUCUACUUUCUUCUCUCAAAUCAUCCGUCAAUCGCGUCAACGAUGAACCUGAGUUAAUUCUGAUCUGAUGACUCGACGUUGGAGGAGGAGAAGAUAAUAAGAGAAAUCGAAAAUCUGAGGGUGGCGUUUGUCAAGGAACGACUGAAGAUCAACAAAAUCAAACUGCGUGGACUGACGGAGCUGAUUCUUCAAGUGGUCUUCGGUAUUUUGAUUUCCUGUUUCUUUACAAAGCAAGCGUUUGAUACCUUUCACUGCUGAUGGUGUAUCUUCCUUUUGUUAAUUACUGAACAAAC